UGUUGAAGCACGUCAUCCUGUUUA
rnacentral:miRNA from 1 species